rnacentral:rRNA from 1 species
CCUACGGGAGGCAGCAGUAGGGAAUAUUGCUCAAUGGGGGAAACCCUGAAGCAGCAACGCCGCGUGGAGGAUGAAGGUUUUCGGAUUGUAAACUCCUUUUGUUAGAGAAGAUAAUGCCGGUAUCUCUCGAAUAAGCACCGUCUAACUCCGUUCCAGCAGCCGCGGUAAUACGGUGGGUGCAAGCGUUACUCGGAAUGACUGGGCGUAAAGAGCGCGUAGGCGGGAUAGUAAGUCAGAUGUGAAAUUCUAUGGCUUAACCCGAGAACUGCAUGUGAAACUGUUAUUCUAGAGUGUGGGAGAGGUAGGUGGAAGGCUCGGUGUAGGGGGAAAAUGCGUAGAGAUCGAGAGGAACACUGAUUGCGAAGGCGACCUGCUAGAACAUAACUGACGCUGAGGCGCGAAAGCGUGGGGAGCAAACAGGAUUAGAUACCCCUGUAGUC